rnacentral:snoRNA from 1 species
UUUCUGUUAUGCAUUUCCAUUAAAACCUACUGAUCUGUUUAGAAAACAAUAGCAGGAGAAAGGAAGAGGAAGAGGGAGAGAGAGA